rnacentral:rRNA from 1 species
ACGCUCGACACCUACAGGAGGCAGCAGUGGGGAAUAUUGCACAAUGGGGGAAACCCUGAUGCAGCGACGCCGCGUGAGCGAAGAAGUAUUUCGGUAUGUAAAGCUCUAUCAGCAGGGAAGAAACUGACGGUACCUGACUAAGAAGCACCGGCUAAAUACGUGCCAGCAGCCGUGGUAAUCUGAGCGGGCUGGCAAGGC